rnacentral:rRNA from 1 species
AUCAAUAAGCGGAGGAAAAGAAACCAACCGGGGAUUGCCUCAGUAACGGCGAGUGAAGCGGCAAGAGCUCAAAUUUGAAAGCUGGCUCCUUCGGAGUCCGCAUUGUAAUUUGCAGAGGAUGCUUUGGGUGCGGCCCCCGUCUAAGUGCCCUGGAACGGGCCGUCAGAGAGGGUGAGAAUCCCGUCUUGGGCGGGGUGUCCGUGCCCGUGUAAAGCUCCUUCGACGAGUCGAGUUGUUUGGGAAUGCAGCUCUAAAUGGGUGGUAAAUUUCAUCUAAAGCUAAAUACUGGCCGGAGACCGAUAGCGCACAAGUAGAGUGAUCGAAAGAUGAAAAGCACUUUGAAAAGAGAGUUAAACAGCACGUGAAAUUGUUGAAAGGGAAGCGCUUGCGACCAGACUCGCCCGCGGGGUUCAGCCGGCAUUCGUGCCGGUGUACUUCCCCGUGGGCGGGCCAGCGUCGGUUUGGGCGGCCGGUCAAAGGCCCCUGGAAUGUAGUGCCCUCCGGGGCACCUUAUAGCCAGGGGUGCAAUGCGGCCAGCCUGGACCGAGGAACGCGCUUCGGCACGGACGCUGGCAUAAUGGUCGUAAACGACCCGUCUUGAAACACGGACCAAGGAGUCUAACAUCUACGCGAGUGUUCGGGUGUCAAACCCGUGCGCGCAGUGAAAGCGAACGGAGGUGGGAGCCCCCUUGCGGGGCGCACCAUCGACCGAUCCUGAUGUCUUCGGAUGGAUUUGAGUAAGAGCGUAGCUGUGGGGACCCGAAAGAUGGUGAACUAUGCCUGAAUAGGGCGAAGCCAGAGGAAACUCUGGUGGAGGCUCGCAGCGGUUCUGACGUGCAAAUCGAUCGUCAAAUUUGGGUAUAGGGGCGAAAGACUAAUCGAACCAUCUAGUAGCUG